CGCGUAGGCGGUCAUUUAAGUCAGAGGUGAAAACUACCGGCUCAACCGGUAGCCUGCCUUUGAAACUGGAUGACUUGAGGGCAGGAGAGGGGAGUGGAAUUCCCAGUGUAGCGGUGAAAUGCGUAGAUAUUGGGAGGAACACCAGUGGCGAAGGCGGCUCUCUGGCCUGUUUCUGACGCUGAGGCGCGAAAGCGUGGGGAGCGAACG
rnacentral:rRNA from 1 species